UACGAAGGGGACUAGCGUUGUUCGAAAUUACUGGGCGUAAAGCGCACGUAGGCGGAUUUGUAAGUCAGGGGUGAAAUCCCGGGGCUCAACCUCGGAACUGCCUUUGAUACUGCAAAUCUCGAGUCCGAUAGAGGUGGGUGGAAUUCCUAGUGUAGAGGUGAAAUUCGUAGAUAUUAGGAAGAACACCGGUGGCGAAGGCGGCCCACUGGAUCGGUACUGACGCUGAGGUGCGAAAGCGUGGGGAGCAAACAGG
rnacentral:rRNA from 1 species